GACGAACGCUGGCGGCGCGCCUAACACAUGCAAGUCGAGCGACGAACCAUCCUUCGGGAUGGGGAAAGCGGCGAACGGGUGAGUAACACGUGGGUAACCCACCCCCGGCACCGGGAUAACUCCGGGAAACCGGAGCUAAUACCGGAUAUUCUCCGCCGUCCACGGACGGCGGAGAAAAGGUAGCUUCGGCCUCCGGCCGGGGACGGGCCCGCGGCCGAUUAGCUUGUUGGUGAGGUAACGGCUCACCAAGGCGACGAUCGGUAGCUGGUCUGAGAGGACGAUCAGCCACACUGGGACUGAGACACGGCCCAGACUCCUACGGGAGGCAGCAGUGGGGAAUCUUGCGCAAUGGGCGGAAGCCUGACGCAGCGACGCCGCGUGCGCGAAGAAGGCCUUCGGGUUGUAAAGCGCUUUUCUGGAGGAAGAGGAAGGACGGUACUCCAGGAAUAAGGAUCGGCUAACUACGUG
rnacentral:rRNA from 1 species